rnacentral:lncRNA from 1 species
CAAUUCCUUGUGAAAAUAAGACACUUUUCAAUAACACACACUUGAUUUUACUUCACAGUUUCAAUCAAGUAGACACACACUUGAUCUUGCUUAACAACUUUGAUCAAGUAGACACACACUUGAUCUUGCUUCAUAGCUUUGACCAAGUAGACACACACUCUUGCUUACAAGCUUAGAGUGACAAAUUACAACCAUAAAUCAGACCAAUUCAAUCAUCUAUGGAUGAAUUGAAUGACUUACAAGUCUCACGACUAAACAAG